rnacentral:tRNA from 1 species
CGCGGGAUGGAGCAGUUUGGUAGCUCGUCGGGCUCAUAACCCGGAGGUCGUCGGUUCAAAUCCGGCUCCCGCAACCA